UGGGGAAUAUUGCACAAUGGGCGCAAGCCUGAUGCAGCCAUGCCGCGUGUAUGAAGAAGGCCUUCGGGUUGUAAAGUACUUUCAGCGGGGAGGAAGGGAGUAAAGUUAAUACCUUUGCUCAUUGACGUUACCCGCAGAAGAAGCACCGGCUAACUCCGUGCCAGCAGCCGCGGUAAUACGGAGGGUGCAAGCGUUAAUCGGAAUUACUGGGCGUAAAGCGCACGCAGGCGGUUUGUUAAGUCAGAUGUGAAAUCCCCGGGCUCAACCUGGGAACUGCAUCUGAUAUCGGCAAGCUUGAGUCUCGUAGAGGGGGGUAGAAUUCCAGGUGUAGCGGUGAAAUGCGUAGAGAUCUGGAGUAAUACCGGUGGCGAAGGCGGCCCCCUGGACGAAGACUGACGCUCAGGUGCGAAAGCGUGGGGAGCAAACAGG
rnacentral:rRNA from 1 species